rnacentral:rRNA from 1 species
GAUGAACGCUGGCGGCGUGCUUAACACAUGCAAGUCGAACGGUGAAGCCAAGCUUGCUUGGUGGAUCAGUGGCGAACGGGUGAGUAACACGUGAGCAAUCUGCCCUGGACUCUGGGAUAAGCGCUGGAAACGGCGUCUAAUACUGGAUAUGAGCCCCUAUCGCAUGGUGGGGGUUGGAAAGAUUUUUUGGUCUGGGAUGGGCUCGCGGCCUAUCAGCUUGUUGGUGAGGUAAUGGCUCACCAAGGCGUCGACGGGUAGCCGGCCUGAGAGGGUGACCGGCCACACUGAGACUGAGACACGGCCCAGACUCCUACGGGAGGCAGCAGUGGGGAAUAUUGCACAAUGGGCGGAAGCCUGAUGCAGCAACGCCGCGUGAGGGAUGACGGCCUUCGGGUUGUAAACCCCUUUUAGCAGGGAAGAAGCGAGAGUGACGGUACCUGCAGAAAAAGCGCCGGCUAACUACGUGCCAGCAGCCGCUGUAACAC